rnacentral:rRNA from 1 species
GACGAACGCUGGCGGCGUGCCUAAUACAUGCAAGUGGAACGCACAGUUUAUACCGUAGCUUGCUACACCAUAGACUGUGAGUUGCGAACGGGUGAGUAACGCGUAGGUAACCUGCCUGGUAGCGGGGGAUAACUAUUGGAAACGAUAGCUAAUACCGCAUAAUAUUGAUUAUUGCAUGAUAAUUGAUUGAAAGAUGCUAUUGCAUCACUACCAGAUGGACCUGCGUUGUAUUAGCUAGUAGGUGAGGUAACGGCUCACCUAGGCGACGAUACAUAGCCGACCUGAGAGGGUGAUCGGCCACACUGGGACUGAGACACGGCCCAGACUCCUACGGGAGGCAGCAGUAGGGAAUCUUCGGCAAUGGACGAAAGUCUGACCGAGCAACGCCGCGUGAGUGAAGAAGGUUUUCGGAUCGUAAAGCUCUGUUGUAAGAGAAGAACGGGUGUGAGAGUGGAAAGUUCACACUGUGACGGUAUCUUACCAGAAAGGGACGGCUAACUACGUG